rnacentral:rRNA from 1 species
GUUGUCGACGGGCGUAAGCGUAAAAAUAUGAUCCAUUCUCUUAAAGCUGGCGAGGUGGAAAUAGAGGGCACAGAUAACCUGAUUACCCAUGCUACUGAUUUUUAUUAGGAACUUUUCGGCCCAGCUCAGGGCAACCAGUUUCAUUUGGACCCUGAUACUUGGUCCGAGGAUGAAAAGUUGAGUGAGGAUGAUAAUAGAGAUCUCUGACGCGAAUUCACGAAGACUGAAGUUAGAGAUGCUCUUUUCUCUAUGGCCACCAAUAGGGCACCUGGACCGGACAAUAUACCUAUUGAAUUUUAUCAAAUAUGUUGGGAUAUAGUAAAGGAUGAUAUCAUGUCCCUUUUUAGACACUUCCAUAAUGGGACGCUUGAUGUUCAAUGUCUUAAUUAUGGAGUAAUCACUUUACUACCAAAGUGUCGGGGGUUGACAAAAUCCAACAGUUCAGGCCAAUCGUGUGUGUUGAUAAGUUGA